CCUCUGCCCUCCCCCGCCUCGGGGCUGGGCGCGCUCGCACGCCCCUGAGGCCCCAGGCCCUUUUGGCACGCGCGGGAGGGGCGCGGCGCGAGGCGUGUCCCGUGAGCAGCGGACACGGCGCCUCCAGGCAAGUCACUCACUGCUCAGCCAGAGCGGCUGCUGCUGGGCUUGAGGAGCCGGGUGCACGAGACUUUUGCAAUUGCAAAAUUAAUGUUUGUCUUUUGCUGGUGUUGCUGCCAAGAAUCCAUGGUAAUUAUGCAAAGGAAGAGAAAUGCUGCAUAGGAGAAUGUUAUCAGAAUUUAGGAUUAACAAAAAAGCCCAGAUAUGACCGAGGGGGCUGUUUGUAGCUGUGAUAGUAUGGAUGAAUGCAUUCACUGUCCUUAAUAAAAGAGAAGAAAAGAAAGACCUCAACAGAAUAUCACUAGAGACGCAGACUUUGCUCUAAGCCAUCUGCCACUAUGUACUCAGGCUGCAAUUUUAAAACACUUUCUUAAUGCUUUUUCCCUUGAAACACAUUUUACACUAAGCAUAAAUAAAAUAAACAGUUUGACAUUUUAUGUGCAUCACAAAUAGAGAUGAGAUAGCUGCGAGUUAAUGCUUCAUACACUGAACUGCCUCUCACUUAAUAAUCAAGCCAGAAAGGGUCCUGCAGAAACCCAAAUUGAAGCAUAAAUUAGUACUGCAGUUUGUUUAUAAUAAAGUAAAAGUGAUGGAAUAUCACACUUCUUCAGUAACCAAGCACUUACUUUGAAAACUUCAUCAGUGCUUCUUCAGCAUAAACAUCUGUUACAUAGAUUCCUGACAUUCUGCCAAUGCUAGCUACCAUCAACUUAAUGUCAUACGCUGAAGAGAAGUGAUGGCAAGACCACAUGGACAGAAAUUUGCUGCUAGUUGCAUAUGCAAAUAAAGGAUUUUAAUCUUCUUCUAUUCACUAUGUAAAUCCUACUGGCAUUAACGGGAGUUAUUCAGGCAUACUGAGAGAACAGAUUCUGGAACUCUCCAGAUGUGGCUCCCUGCUCCAGAAGGAAAGAUGGUGACCUGGUCUCCCUCUCACAGAAUCCUGAGACUUGCUUGAGGACAGUUGGUGGCUGCUGCUUCACAGUGGGGGAGUGAGAGGGACAGGGAGCUGGGUCCUGGCAGCUGAGACUGCCUGACUGCUGCAGCAACAGGCUCGCAAGGAGGGAAGCCUUCGUCACUGCUACAUUGUGACAUAAUAGCUACCUGCUUAGCUUUCUCCUUCAAGACAAUAAGCUGGGAUCUGUUGAAACUCAUCACAGUCCCAAGGAAUUCCACGUUUUUGGUAAAAGUAUCUGUAUCCAGGCACUGCAGUUCCUGAACUGUCCAA